CACACUCCCACUGAAACCUGGUCCACACACACACACUCGUUCAUAUGCUGUGUAUCUGCUCCAUCUCUCUCUCUUGUUUACAGUGACACUGAAUCAUUGCUGUUUUGGUUGUGACAAGUAUAGUUUACCAUGUCAAACUAAUGCGUUGUUUGUUUAUCUGUCUUGACGCUGCACCAGGUUAUGCUAUUACAUGUUACACAUGUGACUCUGACAAUGACUUGUUGUGUUCGAAGGAGAAGUGUCCAGCAAACUUCAAUGUCUGUCUGAAUGUUACACAAGCUUCUCACAGGUUGUUACGUCGCUGUUGGACUGAUCGGGAAUGUCAUGUCAAGGCGGUGAAGGCUGAGUACAGCAGGGAUUUGGAUUUCACCUUCAGCUGCUGUAACUGGGACCUCUGCAACUCCCGAAGUGGCAGCUCCAGGGUAGCUGGGACCCUCAGCCUGCUGGCUAUCCUCGCUCCUGUUGCUGGGUGGCAUAGUGCCAGCUUCUGAAACUGGAGUCAAGUGUGACCACAGCAUGCCUCCUGAAACAGAAGGCUGGCCUCUGAAAGCGUUUCCAAAUGCACCAAAUUGUAUCUGCCGGAUAUAACCAUGUUUGAGAGUAUGAUUUUAUAACAGUCUGUCCCUUCCCCAUUAUUUCUGACAUUAUUCCCGUUUGGUAAACUAACCCAGAAGGGGAGGUCACUGGCGUCCUGUCUUUAGUAUGGGAGUGUUCAGGAUGUGUGCUUGCCCUCAGGAUCUCUCCACUUCCCUGCAUUUAACAGAGCUUCAGUCAGCCACUGCCAACUCUUAGAACUCCAGUUGCGUUUUAAACACUAAACUCCUUUGCUUUAUCUUUCAUAAUCUAUAGCUGCCUGGCCUAGCUACUGCUAUAACAUGGCACCACACAGCCCAAGGUGGACCUAUACCAGUGGGUAAUCCCUGACUAGGAAGAUGCCUAUGUUAAACUACAAUAGACAAGAUUGAGUGGCUGAGCCUUGUCUAAACCCCAUAUGCACUAGAAUCUGUGAAACAGUUUAGAGCUCAUACAUCUGUAACGCAACAUAGAUGAUGUUGAAUGAAGCAGCUAGCUGAUGCUUUUGUAUUAAGCAUUUGACAACUUCCGUCAAUUGAACAAUAAAAGUCAUCUUUUGGGAUGA